UACGUAGGGUGCAAGCGUUGUCCGGAAUUAUUGGGCGUAAAGAGCGUGUAGGCGGCCCGAUUAGUCCGCUGUGAAAGUCCCAGGGCUCAACCCUGGAAUGCCGGUGGAUACUGUCGGGCUAGAGUUCGGAAGGGGCGAGUGGAAUUCCUGGUGUAGCGGUGAAAAUGCGCAGAUAUCAGGAGGAACACCAAUGGCGAAGGCAGCUCGCUGGGACGUUACUGACGCUGGAGACGCGAAAGCGUGGGGAGGCGAACAGG
rnacentral:rRNA from 1 species